rnacentral:rRNA from 1 species
UACGUAGGGCGCAAGCGUUGUCCGGAAUUAUUGGGCGUAAAGAGCUCGUAGGCGGCUUUGUCACGUCGAUUGUGAAAGCCCGAGGCUUAACCUCGGGUCUGCAGUCGAUACGGGCUAGCUAGAGUGUGGUAGGGGGAGAUCGGAAUUCCUGGUGUAGCGGUGAAAUGCGCAGAUAUCAGGAGGAACACCGGUGGCGAAGGCGGAUCUCUGGGCCAUUACUGACGCUGAGGCACGAAAGCUAGGGGAGCAAACAGG